AGUUGUGAUGGUAAAGAUUAACCCACAUACAUUGAUUUAGUGAACAAAAACACUCGUACAGCUGCAGAGUACAUUUUGAACAACCAUCUCCAGGAUAUACUCUGAAGACAGUGAUGUGCAAGUUCAAGGUUUGCCUGUUCAGAUACUUUAAUACCUGGUAAUAAAGAAUGGGUGAAAAAAUUCUCACAUUAUCAUGCUGCAUAAUAGUACAGUUCAGUUGUAACAAAACAAAUUAUCUGAUGAAAGCUUUAACCACGAGAAUGUAGGAAAGGAUGUCAAGUCCAAAGAGAAGGCCAUAUAACAAAUGAAUUCAUGAAGACUAGC